CUCAGCCCAGCGUCUCAAACAAAGGAAAUGUUGGAGGAUGGCCCUGGGCAGUUUGGAGCUCCAUCACCACUCUCCCAUGGAUGCAGUGAAGCUACACCCCACUGGCUCACCUCACCUGCUGCAGUGCCACUGAGGAGGUACAGGGACAGGAAUGAGGCGGGCUGGCUAAUCCAGUUGCAAAACAGAAGGAUGGAUUAACCCCUCCAGUACCACUCACUGGGAAUUCCAGAUGUCCAAGGAAAACAACCAGGUCUGACUGGCAGUGCAAAUCUGCCUUUCCCUGUGAGUGCGGCUGCUUUGCUUAACCUAACACAGAACAAGGCUUGACUGGUUUAUGGUAGGAAAUCACAGGGAAAAUGGACUCUGGAAGGGAGGAACCUGUUCUGGUGGAGCAGAAAUUUCUGUGUUUCAAAGAGGGGACCAAGUGGAGCAGAACUGGAGGAGACUGAGCUGCCCCAGCCACUGAGCCAAGGCAGUGAUCCACCCCUGCCACAUCUCUACCAAGGACUCGUGGGACCACUGCUUGAAAAAGCUUUUUGGAGGAGCUCUGGCAAGUUUAGUUUGUGCUGUCUGAGAUCUCAGUGACCCUUCCAGCAUCCUCAUCUCUAUGCCAAGGCUUGCUGUCCCAGCAGCAAGUGCAGCAGGCGUUUCAGCACUGCAAGCUGCUGACUCUGGGGCAGUGCCUCUGGGUUAUUCCUGGUGCAGAGUGGUUGUGAUUAACCCUCUUCAGCUGUAUCAGCGAGGGUCAAGUGUGAGCUGUCAUGAAUCUCAGCUCUUUCUGACAUUCCCUGGCUUGUGCUGCUGGUGUUUAGGGGCUGUCUGGCUCCUCCAUGUAUUUCCAGCUCUCCUACAGAUUUG